AAGGAACAGGGGUGGAAGCCCGGGAUGCGAGUGGGCGUGCCCGUUUGACGGGUCGAAGGGCGUGUUGUGCGUGAUGAUGUAAAUGUCUCUGAUUGGGCGAGAGACCUGGAGCCCGCGUGGACGUGGUGCCCACCUACUUCUGUCCUGGUAGUUCGCUCGCCUGCUGCUAAGUGAGCAAACCAACAUGUCAGAGUGGGAAUCCUACUACAAAACUGAGGGCGAGGAAGAGGAAGAGGAGGAACAGACCCCCGACACAGGUGGAGAAUAUAAAUAUUCAGGAAGAGAUAGUUUGAUUUUUCUCGUUGAUGCUUCCAGGGCCAUGUUCGAAUCUCAGGGUGAUGAUGAACUCACACCUUUUGAUAUGAGCAUCCAGUGUGUCCAGAGUGUGUACACCAGUAAGAUCAUAAGCAGUGAUCGGGAUCUCUUGGCAGUGGUGUUCUAUGCUACCGAGAAAGACAAAAAUUCAGUGAAUUUCAAAAAUAUUUAUGUCUUACAAGAUUUGGAUAACCCAGGUGCUAAGCGAGUGCUGGAGCUUGACCAGUUUAAGGGACAACAGGGGAAGAAACAUUUCCGAGACACAAUUGGCCAUGGCUCUGACUACUCUUUGAGUGAAGUGCUCUGGGUCUGUGCCAACCUCUUCAGCGACGUCCAGUUCAAGAUGAGUCAUAAGAGGAUCAUGCUGUUCACCAAUGAAGAUGACCCCCAUGGCAAUGACAGUGCCAAAGCCAGCCGGGCCAGGACCAAAGCCAGCGAUCUCCGUGACACUGGGAUCUUCCUUGACUUGAUGCACCUGAAGAAGCGAGGGGGCUUCGAUGUAUCCUUGUUCUACAGAGACAUCAUCAGCAUUGCUGAGGAUGAGGACCUCGGGGUUCACUUUGAGGAGUCCAGCAAGCUGGAAGACCUACUAAGGAAAGUUCGAGCCAAGGAGACCAAAAAGCGAGUGCUGUCCAGGUUAAAGUUUAAGCUUGGUAAAGACGUGGUACUCAUGGUGGGCAUUUAUAACUUGGUCCAGAAAGCUAACAAGCCUUUUCCAGUGAGGCUGUAUCGGGAAACAAAUGAACCAGUGAAAACCAAGACAAGGACUUUUAACGUAAACACAGGCAGUCUGCUCCUGCCUAGUGAUACCAAGCGGUCUCUGACUUAUGGGACUCGUCAGAUUGUGCUGGAGAAAGAGGAAACAGAGGAGCUGAAGCGGUUUGAUGAGCCAGGCUUGAUCCUCAUAGGCUUUAAGCCCAUGGUACUGUUGAAGAAGCACCACCACCUGAGGCCCUCUCUGUUUGUGUACCCAGAGGAGUCCCUGGUCAACGGGAGCUCAACCUUGUUCAGCGCUCUGCUCACCAAGUGUGUGGAAAAGGAGGUCAUAGCAGUGUGUAGAUACACAGCCCGAAAGAACGUCUCCCCUUAUUUUGUGGCUUUGGUACCACAGGAAGAGGAGCUAGAUGACCAGAAUAUUCAGGUGACUCCAGCAGGCUUCCAGCUUGUCUUCCUCCCUUAUGCCGACGACAAGCGGAAGGUGCCCUUUACCGAAAAGGUGAUGGCCAACCCCGAGCAGAUAGACAAGAUGAAGUCUAUUGUUCAUAAGCUCCGCUUCACAUACAGGAGCGAUAGUUUUGAGAACCCGGUCCUGCAGCAGCACUUCCGGAACCUGGAGGCCCUAGCUUUGGACAUGAUGGAGUCGGAGCAAGUGGUAGAUCUGACACGUAAGAAACAUGGACUGAGCCAGGGAGUCCGGUGGUUGUGUGUUGGUGCCAGGGAUUGAACCCGUGUGGGGAGGAGGAACUUCGUGCCCAAGGUUGAAGCCAUAAAGAAACGACUGGGCUCCCUGGCAGAUGAGUUUAAAGAACUUGUCUACCCCCCAGGUUAUAAUCCUGAGGGAAAAGUUGCCAAGAGAAAACCAGACGAUGAAGGUUCUUCGAGUAAAAAGCCCAAGGUAGAGUUAUCAGAGGAAGAGCUGAAGGCCCAUCUUGAAAAGGGCACACUGGGCAAGCUCACUGUGCCUACACUGAAGGACAUCUGCAAGGCCUAUGGGCUUAAGAGUGGACCAAAGAAGCAGGAACUGCUAGAUGCUCUCAUCAGACACUUGAAGAAGAACUAAGAUCACAUGCCUAGCGGCUUACCACAGUGCAGCCAGUCCACCUGCUUGUGUUCUCACCAAGCUGCUGGGUGGUAGCCACAAAGAGCUACCUGACAGAAAUGCAAGAUCUUCACCAUGGAGAUUGCUGCUCUCCCACCUCACUGUGCCUUACUCUAUGAAUAAAGAAAGAGCUCUAACUUUGUAACAUG